GACGUAGGGCGCGAGCGUUGUCCGGAUUUAUUGGGCGUAAAGAGCUCGUAGGCGGUCUGUCGCGUCGGCUGUGAAACCCGGAGCUCAACUCCGGGCCUGCAGUCGAUACGGGCAAACUAGAGUACUGCAGGGGAGACUGGAAUUCCUGGUGUAGCGGUGAAAUGCGCAGAUAUCGGGAGGAACACCGGUGGCGAAGGCGGUUCUCUGGGCCGUUACUGACGCUGAGGUGCGAAAGCGUGGGGAGCAAACAGG
rnacentral:rRNA from 1 species